CCUACGGGAGGCAGCAGUGGGGAAUAUUGGACAAUGGGCGAAAGCCUGAUCCAGCAAUGCCGCGUGAGUGAUGAAGGCCUUAGGGUCGUAAAGCUCUUUUACCAGGGAUGAUAAUGACAGUACCUGGAGAAUAAGCUCCGGCUAACUCCGUGCCAGCAGCCGCGGUAAUACGGAGGGAGCUAGCGUUGUUCGGAAUUACUGGGCGUAAAGCGUACGUAGGCGGUUAUUCAAGUCAGAGGUGAAAGCCCGGGGCUCAACCCCGGAACGGCCUUUGAAACUAGAUAGCUAGAGUCUUGGAGAGGUCAGUGGAAUUCCGAGUGUAGAGGUGAAAUUCGUAGAUAUUCGGAAGAACACCAGUGGCGAAGGCGACUGACUGGACAAGUACUGACGCUGAGGUACGAAAGCGUGGGGAGCAAACAGGAUUAGAUACCCUGGUAGUCCACGCCGUAAACGAUGAUAACUAGCUGUCCGGGUACUUGGUAUCUGGGUGGCGCAGCUACGCAUAAGUUAUCCGUCCGUCGGGUAGGUACGGUCGCGAAGAAUUAAACUAACAAUAGAAUUAGUACGGCGUGAGACGUGCCGACGGACGACGACGAGGGAGGUAGG
rnacentral:rRNA from 1 species